UAAAAUAAAAUUCUCUCCGUGUAUGAUUAAUAAUACUAUCUAAUCUGCCAAUAGUUUUUCGCAUAAUAAGAUAUUAUUCCAGAUGUGUUUUUUUUUAAGUGAUAUGACAUAUGUCAAAAACUUCACGAUUUCAGAUUAGUCCCUGAAAUUGGGCAUUACAUGCUAUGAAAAAAUAGCUGGGAAGUGAGGGGUAGCAAUAAGCGAACAUUGACACAUUUCAAUUUCACAAGUCCUACAAAUCCUAAAACUACGGCAUUGUUAUACAAAAUAUGUAAAAGGAAAGUGUCCAGUCUUGAAUCAAAAUUCUAACUAUACAACGGCGAGACGACAGAGAAUGUUCAGCUUAUUUCGAUGGAAAUAUUUACUAAAGAGAGUUUCAACAUUUAACAUAAAUCUGCGAAACAUCAACACAAAUGCAGCUAUGCAUUAUAAAUGCAUACUGAAAGACUAUCGGUAAUUUUCUUAAUUGAGAGAGAGAGAGAGAGAGAAGAUAGUACUGCCAGCAAAACAGCGUUUUGGUACGUCACUUGCGAAUCCUUCUAACGAGAGAAGAUUAUAGCUUCACGUUGCCAUGUACAGAUUUAGGAAUAACCUCAGGAAGUGAAGAGGCAUAAAAGAUAUUCUUCGAGGCGCAUAAUUUGUGCAGCAAGUUUUCCGGCAUCGGUUCUUGAGUUUGGAAAUGCUUCGCGAACUUCGAUACAACCUGUGAUUGCGUAAUUAAAACAUUCAUCGUGUAGUGCCAGCACAAAUUUGGAUCACUCGCAAAAUAUUCCAUUAGCACACUUGGCACUUCCGCGAAAUCUGUGCUGCAUCUAGUACCAGUGACGUGCUGAUAUUUCGUUCGA